UUGCGGCUACAUCACGUUGAAACAACAGUUCCCGUACGAUCACCGAAGUUAAGCAACGUCGACCUUGGUCAGUACCUAGAUGAUUAACCAUUUGUGAACACCAGGUGCUGUAAG